rnacentral:rRNA from 1 species
GAUGAACGCUGGCGGCGUGCCUAAUACAUGCAAGUCGAGCGAACGGACGAGAAGCUUGCUUUUCUGAUGUUAGCGGCGGACGGGUGAGUAACACGUGGAUAACCUACCUAUAAGACUGGGAUAACUUCGGGAAACCGGAGCUAAUACCGGAUAAUAUUUUGAACCGCAUGGUUCAAAAGUGAAAGACGGUCUUGCUGUCACUUAUAGAUGGAUCCGCGCUGCAUUAGCUAGUUGGUAAGGUAACGGCUUACCAAGGCAACGAUGCAUAGCCGACCUGAGAGGGUGAACGGCCACACUGGAACUGAGACACGGUCCAGACUCCUACGGGAGGCAGCAGUAGGGAAUCUUCCGCGAUGGGCGAAAGCCUGACGGAGCAACGCCGCGUGAGUGAUGAAGGUCUUCGGAUCGUAAAACUCUGUUAUUAGGGAAGAACAUAUGUGUAAGUAACUGUGCACAUCUUGACGGUACCUAAUCAGAAAGCCACGGCUAACUACGUG